CCGAGUGCUCCCGCGAGCGCU
rnacentral:miRNA from 1 species